GACGAACGCUGGCGGCGUGCUUAACACAUGCAAGUCGAACGGAAAGGCCCUGCUUUUGUGGGGUGCUCGAGUGGCGAACGGGUGAGUAACACGUGAGUAACCUGCCCUUGACUUUGGGAUAACUUCAGGAAACUGGGGCUAAUACCGGAUAGGAGCUCCUGCUGCAUGGUGGGGGUUGGAAAGUUUCGGCGGUUGGGGAUGGACUCGCGGCUUAUCAGCUUGUUGGUGGGGUAGUGGCUUACCAAGGCUUUGACGGGUAGCCGGCCUGAGAGGGUGACCGGCCACAUUGGGACUGAGAUACGGACCAGACUCCUACGGGAGGCAGCAGUGGGGAAUAUUGCACAAUGGGCGGAAGCAUGAUGCAGCAACGCCGCGUGCGGGAUCACGGCCUUCGGGUUGUAAACCGAUUUCGCCUGUGACGAAGCGUGAGUGACGGUAAUGGGUAAAGAAGCACCGGCUAACUACGUG
rnacentral:rRNA from 1 species